rnacentral:sRNA from 1 species
AAAGUCGCAGGACAAUACAUACAUAUCUUACAAAGCCAACAAGCUUUACAAGUUGUCUUUCUCUAUCUCCUUCUCUUUAAGACUUUAACUCAUCAUAUUUCUACCUAAAAGUUUUCUCAAGACCUAAAAGAGAAUUCACAAAUGAAGAGAUUCCAUCCAUCAAGAUCGAUCUCAAUAGCUCUGUUUCUGGUUUUGUUAGCUUUCUUUAGCAGCAAGUUUCACAUAGAGGGACAUAGAGAUUUGAGAGAUUUGCAAAUAAGCAAAGAGAUGAAGCAGAAGUCUCUUGGAGGUGAAGGAGAUAGCUUACGGAAAAUCCCGAGGAGUCGCUAUAGCCCCAUACAGAACAAGAGAGGUCCAAGUAGGAAACAUCAGAUCACAUCACAUGAACCAUAGAUUUCAUCUCUAGUUUUUUAUUUAGAUCUUCUGAUUUUUUGUAUUUUUUUUUUGUUGUAGAAUAGUAUUGCCUACACUUGUUUGUGAAUGCAGCAAUGUAGAGUUUGAUACUGUUACUAUUCUUAGAAUGUUUUUUUCUUUUCUUACUGGAAAGUCUUACUCUGAUACUGUUCUAUUGAGUCAAGGCUCUUUGUUUAGACCUCUAAGGAGUGUUUAUUGGAUUUUGUAGAUUUUGCAACAUCUUGAAGCUUAUAUUUGUAUUUAUUACUUGACUUUGUAUCUGUUGUUUCACC